rnacentral:rRNA from 1 species
UACAGAGGGUGCGAGCGUUAAUCGGAAUUACUGGGCGUAAAGGGUGCGUAGGCGGUUGAUUAAGUUAGAUGUGAAAUCCCCGGGCUUAACCUGGGAAUUGCAUUUAAUACUGAAUGACUAGAGUAGAGUAGAGGGAAGUGGAAUUUCCGGUGUAGCGGUGAAAUGCGUAGAUAUCGGAAAGAACAUCAGUGGCGAAGGCGGCUUCCUGGACUCAUACUGACGCUGAGGCACGAAAGCAUGGGGAGCAAACAGG